rnacentral:rRNA from 1 species
UACAGAGGGUGCGAGCGUUAAUCGGAAUUACUGGGCGUAAAGCGCGCGUAGGCGGCUUUUCAAGUCGAUUGUGAAAUCCCCGGGCUUAACCUGGGAACUGCAGUCGAGACUGUCUAGCUAGAGUAUGGGAGAGGGAAGUGGAAUUUCAGGUGUAGCGGUGAAAUGCGUAGAGAUGUGGAGGAACACCAGUGGCGAAGGCGACUCUUUGGCCUGUAACUGACGCUGAGGCGCGAAAGCGUGGGGAGCAAACAGG